GACGAACGCUGGCGGCGCGCCUAACACAUGCAAGUCGAGCGAUGAAAUUUUAACCGAUCUCUUCGGAGAGAAGAUAAAAUGGAUUAGCGGCGGACGGGUGAGUAACACGUGAGAAACCUGCCUUUCACAAGGGGAUAGCCUCGGGAAACCGGGAUUAAUACCCUAUGACACAUUUCCUUCGCAUGGAAGAAAUGUUAAAACUCCGGUGGUGAAAGAUGGUCUCGCGCCUGAUUAGCUAGUUGGUGGGGUAACGGCCCACCAAGGCCAUGAUCAGUAACCGGCCUGAGAGGGUGAACGGUCACAUUGGAACCGAGACACGGUCCAAACUCCUACGGGAGGCAGCAGUGGGGAAUAUUGCACAAUGGAGGAAACUCUGAUGCAGCGACGCCGCGUGAGCGAUGAAGGCUUUCGAGUCGUAAAGCUCUGUCCUAUGGGAAGAUAAUGACGGUACCAUAGGAGGAAGCCCCGGCUAACUACGUG
rnacentral:rRNA from 1 species